UUCCUCUCAGGGUUGCACCUGGAGAGUUUUCAGCACUCUACCAGUCACAACUACAAGAGGGAGAGUCAAGCAGAGGCCUACUCAUUCCAUUCCUAGCUUGGGCAGUGGCUAGCAAGUGGAAGGCAACCUGCUCCAAGU